GACGUAGGGGGCUAGCGUUGUCCGGAUUUACUGGGCGUAAAGCGCGUGCAGGCGGUUCGUUAAGUCCCGUGUUAAAGCCUCCGGCUCAACCGGAGAACGCCGCGGGAUACUGGCGAGCUUGAGGGCGGUAGAGGGUGAUGGAAUUCCCGGUGUAGCGGUGAAAUGCGUAGAUAUCGGGAGGAACGCCAGUGGCGAAGGCGGUCACCUGGGCCGUCCCUGACGCUGAGACGCGAAAGCUGGGGGAGCGAACGGGAUUAGAUACCCCGGUAGUCCCAGCUGUAAACGAUGCUCACUAGGUGUUGGGGGGUUACUCCCUCAGUGCCGCAGCUAACGCAUUAAGUGAGCCGCCUGGGGAGUACGGCCGCAAGGUUGAA
rnacentral:rRNA from 1 species